rnacentral:rRNA from 1 species
UACGGGGGGGGGCAAGCGUUGUUCGGAAUCACUGGGCAUAAAGGGCGCGUAGGCGGCUUUCUAAGUCAGGGGUGAAAUCCGGCAGCUCAACUGUCGCAGUGCCUUUGAUACUGGAGAGCUCGAGGGAGGUAGGGGUCUGUGGAACUUCCGGUGGAGCGGUGAAAUGCGUUGAUAUCGGAAGGAACGCCGGUGGCGAAAGCGACGGACUGGAUCUCUUCUGACGCUGAGGCGCGAAAGCCAGGGGAGCAAACGGG